CACGUAGGGCGCAAGCGUUGUCCGGAAUUAUUGGGCGUAAAGAGCGUGUAGGCGGUUCGGUAGGUCCGUUGUGAAAACUCAAGGCUCAACCUUGAGACGCCGAUGGAAACCAUCGAACUAGAGUCCGGAAGAGGAGAGUGGAAUUCCUGGUGUAGCGGUGAAAUGCGCAGAUAUCAGGAAGAACACCCGUGGCUAAGGCGGCUCUCUAGUACGGUACUGACGCUGAGACGCGAAAGCGUGGGGAGCGAACAGG
rnacentral:rRNA from 1 species